GGAAUUUUGGACAAUGGGGGAAGCCCUGAUCCAGCGACGCCGCGUGAGGGACGAAGGUCUUCGGAUUGUAAACCUCUUUUAUUCGGGAAUAAGAAACUUAUGGAAACAUAGGGAGUGAAUGUACCGAAUGAAUAAGCCACGGCUAACUUCGUGCCAGCAGCCGCGGUAAUACGAAGGUGGCAAGCGUUACUCGGAAUUACUAGGCGUAAAGGGCAGGUAGGUGGUUUGAUAAGUCUGUUGUGAAAGCUCCUGGCUUAACUGGGAGAGGUCAACAGAAACUAUCAGGCUUGAGUAUAGGAGAGGGUACUGGAAUUCCCGGUGUAGCGGUGAAAUGCGCAGAGAUCGGGAGGAACACCUAUGGCGAAAGCAGGUACCUGGACUAUUACUGACACUCAGCUGCGAAAGCUAGGGGAGCAAA
rnacentral:rRNA from 1 species